GGGACCGCACAAGCGGUGGAGCAUGUGGUUUAAUUCGAUACAAAGCGAAAAACCUUACCUGGGUUUGAAAUGUACCUGCAAAUCCUACGAAAGUAGGACUUCUUCGAGAGUGGUACACAGAUGCUGCAUGGUUGUCGUCAGCUUGUACCGUGAGGCGCACCCUUAAGUGGGUCAACAAGCGCAACCCGCAUCGUGUGUUAAAUAUUCACACGAAACUGCCUCAUUUACUGGGGAGGAAGGAGCGGAUGAUGUCAAAUCAGCACGGCUCUUACAUCCAGGGCUACACACAUCCUACAAUGGCGAAUAACAACGAGCUGCAACCGGGUAACCGGAAGCCAAUCUCUGAAAUUUCGCCUCAGUUCAGAUUGAGGGCUGCAAUUUGCCCUCAUGAAGUCGAAAUCGCUAGUAAUCGCGGAUCAGCAGGCCGCGGUGAAUACGUUCUCGGUCCUU
rnacentral:rRNA from 1 species